rnacentral:rRNA from 1 species
AUUGAACGCUGGCGGCAUGCUUUACACAUGCAAGUCGGACGGCAGCGCGGGCUUCGGCCUGGCGGCGAGUGGCGAACGGGUGAGUAAUACAUCGGAACGUGCCCAGUAGUGGGGGAUAGCUCGGCGAAAGCCGGAUUAAUACCGCAUACGACCUGAGGGUGAAAGCGGGGGACUUUAGGGCCUCGCGCUAUUUGAGCGGCCGAUGGCAGAUUCGCUAGUUGGUGGGGUAAAGGCCUACCAAGGCGACGAUCUGUAGCUGGUCUGAGAGGACGACCAGCCACACUGGGACUGAGACACGGCCCAGACUCCUACGGGAGGCAGCAGUGGGGAAUUUUGGACAAUGGGCGCAAGCCUGAUCCAGCAAUGCCGCGUGUGUGAUGAAGGCCUCCGGGUUGUAAAGCACUUUUGGCAGGAACGAAAAGUGCCGUGCUAAUACCACGGUACGAUGACGGUACCUGCAGAAGAAGCACCGGCUAACUACGUG